rnacentral:rRNA from 1 species
AUUGAACGCUGGCGGCAUGCUUUACACAUGCAAGUCGGACGAGUGGCGAACGGGUGAGUAAUGUAUCGGAACGUACCGAAUAGAGGGGGAUAACUAUCCGAAACGACAGCUAAUACCGCAUAUCAUCCGAGCGGCCGAUGUCUGAUUAGCUGGUUGGUGGGGUAAAGGCCCACCAAGGCGACGAUCACUAGCGGGUCUGAGAGGAUGAACCGCCACACGGGGACUGAGACACGGCCCAGACUCCUACGGGAGGCAGCAGUGGGGAAUUUUGCACAAUGGGCGCAAGCCUGAUGCAGCCAUGCCGCGUGUAUGAAGAAGGCCUUCGGGUUGUAAAGUACUUUUGGCAGGGAGGCGGUACCUGAAGAAGAAGCACCGGCUAACUCCGUGCCAGCAGCCGCGGUAAUUC